rnacentral:pre_miRNA from 1 species
AGAUGGAUAGCUGGGUCAAAUGGUGGUUCCAUUCCGUUUUCUGAGUACUCUCCAUGCUGCUUUCCAUAGUGGUUGCACCAAUUUGCAGUUCCAUCAGCAAU